GGAGAGUUUGAUCCUGGCUCAGGACAAACGCUGGCGGCGUGCAUAAAACAUGCAAGUCGGACGAGCCAAUCCCCGCAAGGGGAAAGGCUAGUGGCGAACGGCUGAGUAACACGUAGGUGACCUGCCCUGAAGUGGGGGAUAACGACUCGAAAGAGUCGCUAAUGAUCCGUUUUCGGUGCUCAAAGUCGUAAGACGCUUUAGGAGGGGCCUGCGGCGGAUUAGCUAGUUGGUGAGGUAAUGGCCCACCAAGGCUUCGAUCCGUAGCUGGUCUGAGAGGAUGGCCAGCCAGACUGGGACUGAGACACGGCCCAGACUCCUACGGGAGGCAGCAGUUAGGAAUUUUGCGCAAUGGGGGAAACCCUGACGCAGCCACGCCGCGUGCGGGAUGAAGGCCUUCGGGUCGUAAACCGCCUUUCUCGAGGAAGACACCCGACGGUACUCGAGGCAUAAGCAACGGCUAACUACGUGCCAGCAGCCGCGGUAAUACGUAGGUUGCGAGCGUUGUCCGGAUUUACUGGGCGUAAAGCGCGCGCAGG
rnacentral:rRNA from 1 species